rnacentral:rRNA from 1 species
CUACGGGGCGCUGCAGUGAGGAAUAUUGCACAAUGGGGGGAACCCUGAUGCAGCAACGCCGCGCGGAGGAUGACGCAUUUCGGUGUGUAAACUCCUUUUAUAUGUCAAGAAAAUGACGGUAGCAUAUGAAUAAGCACCGGCUAACUCCGUGCCAGCAGCCGCGGUAAUACGGAGGGUGCAAGCGUUACUCGGAAUCACUGGGCGUAAAGGACGCGUAGGCGGGUUGGAAAGUCAGGUGUGAAAUCCUACAGCUUAACUGUAGAACUGCACUUGAAACUUCUAAUCUAGAGUAUGGGAGGGGGAGAUGGAAUUAGUGGUGUAGGGGUAAAAUCCGUAGAUAUCACUAGGAAUACCUAAAGCGAAGGCGAUCUCCUGGAACAUUACUGACGCUAAGGCGUGAAAGCGUGGGGAGCAAACAGGAUUAGAUACCCCAGUAGUC